rnacentral:rRNA from 1 species
AAUUGUUUAAGAGCCGCGGUAUUUUGACCGUGCAAAGGUAGCAUAAUCAUUAGUUUCUUAAUUGGAAACUCGUAUGAAGGAUCGGACAAAGGAAAGACUGUCUCUAUAGUAGAAAUUGAAAUUAACUUUUAAGUGAAAAGGCUUAAAUAAUUCAGGGGGACGAUAAGACCCUAUAAAGCAUUUUAUUGGGGCGAUAUAAGUAUAAUUAUUAACUACUUAAAUUUUAUACAAAGAUAUAUGGAUUGAUCCUUUAUAAAGAUUAAAAGACUAAGUUACUUUAGGGAUAACAGCGUAAUUUCUUUUGAGAGUUCAUAUCGAAAGAGAAGUUUGCGACCUCGAUGUUGAAUUAAAAUGUCUAUAUAAUGCAGACGUUAUAUUAGAAGGUCUGUUCGACCUUUAAAAUUUU